GAUGUUAUGCUUUUCUUCUAUGUAUGAGUAAUGGAAAGAAAUUUGCGUGCAGAGCAGUCUUCCGCUAGAUGGCGGUAACUACCGACCGCUUGGCAGAAGCCUUACUGUUGUUGUAAGAAGAAGAAAGACCAACGAAGAAGAUAAAAAAAAAAAACAUUUCUGAAACGGUUUACUCGUUAAAGCCGUGUUAUUCAAUUCCUUGCGAGGUGGAUUAGUUUUAAUUCCGCGCACACGUACCUCAAUGCAUCCGAGUUUUUGUUCAUGUUUUUCCCUGGUGGCCGCACAGAUUCGCUUGUAUGCAGUUUGAGACUUCACGAGCAAGUUUAGCUUGCUAGCUGCGAACAAAAGACAGGCCGACGUUAGCAACCCAACGAACGCGAAGCAAAGAUCGCGUCUGCUCGUAAAGUCUGGUGAUUAAACUUUGAAAAUGUGUGCAAAUUCUGUCAAACCAGAGUACGAGGAAGAACUUUGCGGAAGCCAAGAAGAGAACGCGCGACGUCAACUACUCGACGCUGUUUUCGAGAUGCCUCGAGAUGGCGAAGAUGUCAGUAAAAGAAAUCUUCAUCCAGAUCAGCAGGAGGCCGAGCACCGCCACAUCAAAGAGGAGGAGGAGGAGGAGGAGGACAUCACCACGCUGCCAUUUCUUCGUGUCAUUGUGAAGAGUGAAGGUGAAGAUGAAGAUGGGGAUGGAGACCAACGUGGAGCAUCCCAAGCAGGCAGUCUCUUAGCUCCGCUGUCGCAGAGUGAAAACACAACCGGAAGCGACGACGACGACGACAACGAACGCGCGACAGGAGACGUGAGGUGUCGCUCUGACAACAAACGCUGGAAAUGUUCCCAGUGUGAAAAACCCUUUGGCAACAACUCUGCUCUAAAAAUGCACAUGAGAACACACACCGCAGAGAAACCCUUUUCAUGCUCCGUUUGUGGGAAGGAAUUCUCUCAAAAGGGAAAUUUGCUAAGACACACAAGAACGCACACGAGACCCACCACACUGAAAAAACUCUGCUCAGUUUGCGGUAUGAGGUUUCGUCAAAAUUCACAUUUGAAAAAGCACAUGAGAACACACACCGGCGAGAAUUCAUUUUGCUGCUCGGUGUGCGGCAAAAAAUUCUCUCGGAAGUCCGUUUUGACAACGCACACGAGGUCGCACACUGGUGAGAAACCAUUUUCGUGUUCAAUGUGCAUCAAAAGUUUUAGUAGUCGUUCUUCGUUUGUCCGUCACAAAAAAACACACACCGGUGAGAAACCUUUUUCCUGCCCGCUUUGUGCUAAACAAUUCUCUCAAAAGGGAAAUUUGAUCAGACACACGAGAAAUCACGCUGAGCAAACAACACUGAAGCCCAACGGCUCCGUGUCUGCCGUGAAGCUUCGUCAAAAUGCAUAUUUGGGAACGCAACUGAGGAAACGCACCGGAAAGAAAAUGUUUUCCUGCUCCGCGUGUGGCAAAACAUUCGCUCACAAGACCGUUUUGACGAGACACAAAAGAACGCACACUGGAGAAAAAAGAUUCUCUUGUCCAGUCUGCAACAAGACGUUCGGCGGUCGUUCGUCGUUUGUUCGACACAAAAGAACGCACACCGGCGAGAAACCUUUUCCCUGCUCGGUGUGCGGCAAAAGAUUUGGUGAAAAGGCACAUUUUCUCGUUCACACAAGAACGCACACGGGCGAAAAGCCUUUCUCGUGUCCCGUCUGUAACAAGCGCUUCAGCGCCUAUUCGACGUUUUCCCGCCACAAAAGAACACACACCGGCGACAAGCCUUUUACGUGCUCCGUGUGUGCUAAAAAGUUUGCGUUGAAGACAUAUUUGAUGGUCCACGCAAGAACACACACUGGGGAAAAACCUUAUUCUUGUUCGGCGUGUGGCAAACGUUUCAGUGGCCGGUCAUCAUUUGUGCGACACCAAAGAACGCACACCGGGGAGAAACCUUUUCCCUGCUCUGUGUGUGGUAAAAGCUUUGCCGGAAAGAAAUAUUUCAUGGCGCACACGAGAGCCCACGCCGGAGUCAAACCUUUUUCCUGUUUGCUGUGCAACAAAAGCUUCAGCGUUCAUUCCUCCUUCGUUCGCCACCAACGGACACACACGGACGACAGGCCCUUUUCUUGCUCGCUGUGCGGGAUGAGAUUAACUUGUCGUUCCCAUUUAGGAAGACACAUGACGACACACACCGGUGAGAAAAUGUUCACUUGUGGCGUGUGUGAGAGAAAAUUCUCUCGGAAGGAUAAUCUGAAGACACACAAAUGUGCUGGAAAGAAGUAAAGCUUCGUUCGGGGGUGGAAAAUCAACCAGAAGGCUUCGUGUGCACUUUUGACUCGUUGUUGUGGGACAGACAGAUGUGAUGUGAUGUGUGUUUUGGUUUGGUUUGGUUUUCCAGGGCCCAGACCGAUUAUUGGUCAUCAAAGAGACUGAUAGAUAUUUGAAGUCAAUGUCCAUUUGCAGUGAAAGGGAAAAUAUUGGUGUCAAUGUUUUGAGAGGGAAAAAAAAAAAAAAAAACCCUCCAACUCGCCACUUAAAUGUCAUUAUGACUGAAAUGUUCAAUUUCAACAGAAACAAAAUGUUCUGGGUGUUCCCAGGCUCAUCAGCAUUUGUUAAAAACGUAACUGAAAAUGUUCAUCAAUCUUCGUGAGAUAAGCGGAACACAAAAUGGUGGCCGGAGUCGUUCCCCGAAGUAGGCGCCGUUUUAAAUUGGUCCCUUUUUUUUUGGGUCGUCCGAUUUUUAAAAAGGCUGAAUACGGAUGCCGAUGAUUGGACAAUCCUCCCGACAUCGAUGAGGCUUGUCGCAGACUUCCUCAAGAACUUUCAGCCGAUUUGGAACUUGUGAACGUUGUCGCUGGCGUUUCCGUGCGCGAUACAAAGUUUCUGUUCUAGUAGAAAUUCUGCACUGGAGGAAUAAAUCGAAAAGUGAGGUUUGUCGUCGGAUGUCUUCAUUUCACGAACAAAGUACUGCAAUGCUAAUCAUGCCUCUUUACUCGAGCUCUUGGUGUUGGAUGACUGUAAUGAACGGUUAGCAAUUUCAUGCUAAAUUAAAACCGUGAAGGUUACAAUCCAUUUUUAGGUUAAUCCUGAAACACUCAACUUUUUUUUUUAUGACUGAUGUACGGAACCAGACCCAUUUGUGCAUACUGUUAUCAUACAUGCAGGCAUGUUACUGGCAACAUAAACCGUGUACUGACACUCCACACCCGAUAGAGGCAGUAAUGCGGGAGAACGUCAUUUUUUUUCCGCCGGAAGUAAAAAAAAAAACCCAAUUUAGCAAGGCGUGUUUGUGUUUCCUUGUGACUUUUGUGCUUUAUCAUCCAAAUAACUGUGCGAAAUUGUUCCUGCUGGAAUAAACUCGUCUCAUUUAAUUUGUGAAGCUUCUCUGGCUAGUUUAGCUUCGCUUUUUUUUUGGGGGGGGGGGGGGGGGGUCGCUAGCUUUGCACAGCAAGACGCGGAAGUUAGCAACGCAUCACCGAGAAAAGCCCAAGUGUGAAAAUGUGCAAAGUGGAAAUCCUGAGAGCCUUGUUGAAUCAGCGACUCAGCGCGGCCGUCGAAGAAGUUUUUGGAGUGUUCGCGAGAACGAUCGCAGAGUACGAGGAGAAGCUUUGCCGAACUAAAGAGGAGAACGAAAGACAACGUCAACUGCUGGACGCUCUUCUCAAGCAUCACGUUGCCUUCCGCAAUGCAGACACGCGUGAAGAAGAUCUUCAUCCUGAGCACCGGCGGCGGAGCUUCACGUUGGAGCAACAGCAGCCAGAACCCCCCAACGUUAAAGAGGAAGGGCCUCUUUACGUCAAAGAGGAAAAGGAACAGGCCGACGUCGCCAACCUCCCGUUGACGGAUGCCUUGGCGAGCCUCGAAAAUGACGACGCGGGGCCGGAGCCUCCCGGCGGCUGCUCGAGUCGACACGGGACAACAAAAGGUGAUGCAGACCGCCGUGGACGAUCACAGGAAGACCGCCUCUUCGCGCCGCUGUCAGAGAGCGACAACGCAGCCUCGCGUUCUCCCGACCCAGACGACGACGACGACCGCCCUCAAGGCCCCAGCGACAGCGCCCGCUUGAAAUGCUCUCAGUGCGACAAAAGUUUCAUCAACGCGGCUUCUCUCAAAAGGCACGCGACGAUUCACAAGGGCGACAAAACGUUCAACUGCUCGUUUUGCGGGAAAAGAUUCAACCAAAAGGUACAUUUGAUAAAACACACGAGAACGCACACAGGAGAAAAGCCUUUUUCCUGCACAGUCUGCGGUAUGAAAUUAAGCCAAAAAGAAUAUUUGAAAGUGCACAUGAGAACGCACACUGGGGAAAAACCCUUCCCCUGUUCCGUGUGUGGCAAAAGGUUCUCUCAAAAGGCUUUCCUGAAGGUACACACGAGAACGCACACAGGCGAGAAACCCUUUUCUUGCUUAGUCUGUAACAAAAGUUUUAGCGCUUAUUCAACAUGUACGCGGCACCAAAGAACGCACACGGGCGACAAAGUGUUUAGUUGUAGCGUGUGUGAGAAGAAGUUCACCCGGAAGGACAACCUGAACAAACACAAGUGUACUGGUAAGAAAUGAAGGCGCAAAGUCACGGCAAACGGAAAGGACUGGAACCCGCCGGGCCCCGAAUGAACUUGCCGCCGGAACGCGUGCUGAGAUCCUGCACGCGGUCGAGCUUCUCCCUGAGACGGUGCCCUCAACGUAUCCCACAAUGCAUUUUGAGACGGCGAGAUGUCCUUCGGCAGACUUUUUUUGUCCUUUGACUUGACAGCAAAAAUGCGCGAAACGAGAGCUGCGUGGCGGUCGGCGGUGACGUCGACCCUCUUCACGACCGCCACCAGUUAACGGAUCGUGCAGAAUUCUUCAAAAAGCGCCUACAAGCUGUUUCGUGCGCAGGUUUACGGUCCAACUAAACAUAAGACAAAGACAAUUCGUGCAAUGUGUGUAUUUAACCACACUACAUUCCACGCAAACGUCUGCGAGCUCAUUUGCUAACGCACAAUGCAAAAACGCAACCGACGGGUUAACCAAAGUGGCUUUGAUGUUGCGGUAAUGGACCUUUCCGACCUGUCAAUCACUCGUACAAUAAUGGCCAAUCAGAUGGCUGCAUUGUUUUAACCCCUGCCUAGACACGCCCCCCUCUCCCCGUAUUGUCCCACAAGCAAUGCCGGUUGUCAGUAGCGUGCGCUCAGAAAAGUUCAUGUUACAAAGAAAAUGGUCCUCAGAUGGGCUCGGGGAACGUGCAAUUCUGACGAAAGACGUGCUGCGACGUUACAAGGUUGAUUCAUUUUCCAAAGCAGUUGAGGAAGUGUCUACGAUGGGUUAACGCUCGCGGAAGAGCGCACGCGCACAACUAAAUGUGGACAAUAUCAACAAGCACAAGGCUGUACGUUCGAAUUUAAGGGAGGGCGGAGGAUCCUCUCGGAGUUGGAUUUCAUUAUUAUCAGUGCGGGAGAACGACUUUCACUUUGUGACCUGCUGAACGAAGUGUGUCACGUUUUAUGCCAAAGAGUCGGGUUAGGGAUACGUGAACGCGCCACGUCACGCUAGAGAAAUGUCCAUUUUUUUCCUAUUUGUAUCACAUCAGACUGGGUUCCAUUACGAGCCAAGUCAAAUGAAUUACAAAGACUCCAACGAUAUUACUGGUGAUCUUUCCAAGUAAAAAGUACUCACCCUGCUUUACAUGCGCAGUACGAUUCCACAUUUUGAUCCCGUUGGAUUUCAAUAUGAAGUUUGUGAGGUGUCAAACUUUUUUGCAUCGAUCGCCAACAUUUCGCCGUAACUCUGACUUUGCGUCCCGCUCCGUCCAGAAUCUCAAUUGCGUGUACGUAUCCUCGCGUGAAAUAGUUGAGAGCUCUCUGUAGAACUCUCUUGGACGAGUCUGCCACAUUUGGCAAAAAACAUACCCCAAUAUUAUCUGGAAUAUGCGAUAAUUGACUUCAAACAUUCUCUGUCCAAUCGCCAUUUUGGCUAAUGGGGCGGAGCUUAAGAUCGGCAUCGGAAUGGUCCAUCAUCACCAUUUAAGCGAUGGCUAUUUGAACACAAACAGUGGAGCAACACACGUAGACAGACAAUACCAUACUCUCAGGCAUAUAUUCUUUAUCCUCGAUGAAACCAUCUCCCGGUAAAAUAUCUUUAGCAGACUGUCCUCAUUUCCAUCCAAUAAUUAAUUGCGCCCACUGCGCAAGACUGUAACAACAUGAGCACACUUUGACUAGUUGACAUGAGUAAAUAAUUGAACCGUCAGAAACUCGUGUUGUGGGAGCAGUGUUUGAGUGUCCUGUUUCAUUAAGGACUUUAAAGAUGAUCACUUUGCUGUGGCUUGAAACAAGAGAAAGCGAGAGAAUAAAUCGUCCCACAUCACGUGACUCGCGUUUCUACACCA